AUGGACGUUAAAUUUUCGUCACACGAUGAGCACUCUCAACCACUUUCAUUGAAUGAAAUAACGAAAAGAGGGGAGAAAAUGGAGUUGGACGUAGUUCAUCAGGAUGUUGAACAGGCAAUGGAUAUUUUUGAGUCACAUCAGCCAAAACAGGGGACAUCUACUGCUAUAAUUAACGCCACUGAAGAUGGCAGCAUUUUAAAGCUUCAAGAAACCCAGACAGGACCAAGACCAGAUACUUCUACGCAGCAAAGCAAGCGAAAUGAAAAAGAGACGGUAAAACAUUCGCAAAAUGAGCCAGAGAAAAAGGCGAAGGAACAAAGUAAAACUAAACAAAAAACUAAAGUUCCGUCGAGUUUGGAGAGCCAAAGGAAACACAGCAUUAUACCCAUUGAUCUCCAACUUGAGUCUGUGAAUGACGUUUUGUCCACUAUCCGUAACUUCCGUAAAAACAUUGCAAUUGACUGUACUGAAAAUUUUGAUAACGAGUCUCCAGUUCAAGAUUCCCUUCUAGAAUUUAUCGAUGAAAUUGAACUCUUUGAAACAAGCCUGAGACAGUUCAAGGAAAACACAGAAAUAGAUGAAAACAGCUUGACUCCUGGUUCUGUAAAAGGGAAUCUUGAUGUUCCAUUGCUGCGUUUGAAAAAUCAAGUAUGUCUCCUAGAAAAUGUUUUCAAUGCUCACCAGUGUGAGUCACUUUCAGCUGCGGUGACUGAUCUGAAAGAAAUCGUCAAUGAGUUAAACGAGAAUCUCGAGAGAAACUCUUUUGAGCUUAUGCAACUGGAAGAUCUAAAAACACCCUUAAAAAUUUUGAAUUUAGCCGUCAUUGAAUGGGGAUCAAAAGAAGACGGCGAGGUCCAACUAUUGAAAAAUCAAGCAAAUAAUGUUGCCUCCUUCAAUCCGUCAGAUUUGAAUAAAUUUGUUGUAAAAGACAUGGUUGAUUGUAUCUCAAGCAUUGAUAACGAAAUCUACAGUAUUUUAAAUCAUGCCUCUGAGGGUGUCACAAAUGAUAUAUUUUAUGAAUGCACAGAUAAUAUAAAAAAUCUGGCUAUUGUCUCAGAAAAGCUCAAAGUAACUGAAAACAAAUUAAAAACCUUAAUCGACAAGCCAAGCGAGAUGCCCGUCACAAUUUUAAAAGAGUCAAUUAAAAAUAUUCAAGAGCACAUUUUUUCUGUGGAACAAGCACUUUGUAUAAACACACUUCAACCUCAGACCGUACAAAACACAGUCUCGAACUUCCGAGAAUAUUUAGCCGCUCUUCAUCAUGAUAUCCAGGCGUUUGAAUGCCUCAACGCCGAAGACAGCAAGGCUUUAAAUUUGGAGAAGCUGAUAGAGCCCAUUACAGUUCUCCUACAACAGAUAGAAGAUGUGAAACAUAGCCCAGUAGCAAACAAAAUAAGCACAGCUUUAAUUGAACACAUAGAUAUCUUGGAUCAGACUGCAGAUGAAUUGAGACAGCAUUUGACAGCGUGCAUGUUGGAACCGCAAAUAACUGAAAGUGAGAUAACGACUCUUGUAGAACCAUUUAAGAUAAUAAAAUCCGAGAUAAAUGACAUUGCACCGUACAUUAAUCGUGCAAGUAAACGUCGAAGCAUCUCUACCGAUGAAAAUCUAUUAUUGCAAAAUUUGUCGGACGCUUUUCAGACCAUUGCAAGUAUAGAGUUUGAAGAAGUUUCCGAUUUAUUGGUCAACCAAAAUUUCAAAGAAAAGACAAAAGUUGCAAGUGAAUCACUGGUGGAAGAGCUACUAAUCAAUGCAUCGGCAAUGAAACAACCGUUGGUACAACAGUCUGAUACUCAAAAUAAACUGAAACAAGAAGUAGAAAACGUACCAGAACAAGUACUUGAAGAAGGAGCUACGCCGGAAGUGGACAUUAAAUUAAAAAGAGACGCUGAAGAAGAGUCCAAAAUUAAGGUUGAGCAAAAGACACGGAAAGAAAUUGAAAAAAAAGCAGGACGUGAAGCAGAAGAAAAAGCAAAGAUACAAGAUGAGGAAAAAACUAAAAAAGAGGCCGCAGAGAAAGUGAAGCAUGAAGCAGAAGCAGAGGCCAGACGAUAUGCAGAGGAAAAAGCGAAGCUACAAACUGAGCACAAGGCCAAAAAAGAAGCAGCAGAGAAAGAAAAACGUGAAGCUGAAGAAAGAGAAAGACGGCAAGCAGAAGAAAAAGCAAAGCAAGAAGCUGAGAUUAGGACCAAAAAGGAAGCCACUGAGAAAGCUAAACGUGAAGCAGAAGAAAAAGAAAAUCGUGGAACAGAGGAAACAGCAAAACGUGAAGCUGAGGAAAAGGCCAGAAAGGAUGAGAAGGCGGCUCUUGAGACGCAAGAAAAAGCCAAAAAAGAAGCUUCAGAAAAAGCUACACAUGAGGCAGAAGCAGAAGAGAAACAUGUUGCAGAGUCAAUAGCAAUGCUGGAAACCAAGGUGAAAGCCGAAAAAGAAGAGAGAAAGAAGCAAAGCAGAAGAAGAAAGCAGAGAAAGCAGAGAGAGCAAAAGAAGCAGAAA
rnacentral:lncRNA from 1 species